UCACACCCUCCACAUGGCUGAGCCAAUAUUAAACCCAAACACAAUAUUUUUCCUAUAAAUCAAUUUGUUCCCGGACUUUGGUUUCUCCCUGGGUCACCUGACCCGCGGAGGCACGUCACCUAGUGCUACUUAACAGGUUACCCGGAACUGCCUCUGUUCAGUCCAUGAAGCGGAGACAGAAGGUGAGUGUGUAUGUGUGUGCGUGUACGUGUAAGCGAGACCCGUGUAGGUGUUUGAGUGUGCACCCUCUAACACCAACCACGGGGACGCAAGAGUCCAAUUAUUGUCUUUAAAUGUUCAUUUUGACUCCCGUCCGUCUGUCACUCCAGCCGCGAGUGACCACGCUAUUCCCCCACGUCGGCGACGAGGGAGAGCGAGAGGGAGAGAAGGCGUCCAGCCGCGAGAGAGAGCGUGCGUCCAGCCGCGAGAAAGAGAGCGGCCAGCCGCGAGGGAGAGAGCGGCCAGCCGCGAUGAGGACGGCGUUAGUGGCGCC